rnacentral:lncRNA from 1 species
UUGCAUCCUUUCACGAAGAAUCAACAUCCAUUCACUAAAACAAUAAACAAAAUAUAUUAUUUUAAAAUUUUCCUUACAAUUCCCCACCAAAUUUUAAAAUACAUAAAAAUACAUCAAAAAGCAAAAUAAAACAAAAUCAAAAAUCAAAAUCAAAAUUCUUGACAACUUGACAAAACCGUAUGCAUAGGUGUAGGUGUAUUAAAACUUGAACCUACACUUAGUGAAA